GGGAGGUAGUGACAAUAAAUAACAAUACGGGGCUCUUUCGGGUCUCGUAAUUGGAAUGAGUACAAUUUAAAUCCCUUAACGAGGAACAAUUGGAGGGCAAGUCAGGUGCCAGCAGCCGCGGUAAUUCCAGCUCCAAUAGCGUAUAUUAAAGUUGUUGCAGUUAAAAAGCUCGUAGUUGAAUUUCGGGGUUAGUAGGUUGGUCAUGCCUCUGGUAUGUACUGGUCUCACUGAUUCCUCCUUCCUGAUGAACCUUAAUGCCAUUAAUUUGGUGUUUUGGGGAAUUUGGACUGUUACUUUGAAAAAAUUAGAGUGUUUAAAGCAAGCUAACGCUUGAAUACAUUAGCAUGGAAUAAUGAAAUAGGAUGUUCGAUCCUAUUUUGUUGGUUUCUAGGAUUGACGUAAUGAUUAAUAGGGAUAGUUGGG
rnacentral:rRNA from 1 species